rnacentral:lncRNA from 1 species
CGGUCUUAUCCAGAGAGACUCUCAGGGAGGAGCUCAGUGUCUCGCUCAGAGACAUUUCAUGGCUGUUAAUGGACAGAUUGGCUGUCGUAGGAGUUUGAACUUCUAACCUCAGGCGUGCAAGGAAAGGCCCUCUGAACCUCUAAACUGUCCACUUUUCUCAGAGUAAACACAUGGCUGUGGACAGAGUUGAAGACAUGCCAGAGCAGUAAGAGCAGCACUCAGGAAAACAAUUGGAGAAUAACAGUGUCAGAUGAAGUGGUCUGGUGAAGAACAUCCUGAGUGCUUCAAAGAAAUAUGUUUUUUUUAACUUCUUUUUGCUGCUGGAUCACCAAUUUUAUAACACCCCUAAAAUGAUGACCCUGUUUUUGUCUGUUGGACCGAUAUGUGAGUGUCUAUGCAAAGAUUAUUGAUACAGAAUCAAAUCUAAGAAGAGCAACUAGUGGCAUCUCGCAAUGAUCUGUACUUGGACCCAAGUUAUUUUAGGGCCUGUGUCCACUAUUGGCACUUUAGGGCCCAUGUACACUAUAGACAGUUAUGUAGCCUAUGCUCACUGUAGGCAACUAUUGGGCGUGUGUCCGCUUAAGGUAUUUUAGGGCCUGUGUCCACUAUUGGCAUUUUAGGGUCCGUGUAGAAUAUCUACAAUUUAGGGCCUGUAUCUACUACUGACACUUUAGGGCCUGUGUCCACCAUUGGUGUUCUGGGGCCUGUGUCCACUAUUGGUGUUUUGGGGCCCAUGUCAACUAUUAGUAUUUUAGGGCCUGAGUCUAUUAUUGCCAUUUUAGAGUUUUUGUCUUCUAGUGGCACUUUGGGGCCUAGGUCCACUAUUGACAAUUAAGGGCCUGUGUCCAUUAUAGGCAAUCAAAGAGCCUGUGUUCACUGAUGGCAAUUAUAAGGCCUGUGUCCACUUUUGGUAUUUAAGGGCCAGUGUCCACUGUUGGUGUUUUGGGGCCUAAGUCUUCUAUCGGCAUUUGAGAGUUUUUGUUUUUUAGCAGUAUUUCAGGGCCUGUAUCCACUACUGACACUUUAGGACCUGUACCCACUUAAACGUUUUAGGGCCUAUGUCCACAAUUUGGACAUUGUUUAAAAGAUACUCUUGAAGGGUCUGGUAAUUUGGAAGUUGCUCCAUUUGCAGAUGAUACCAGUUUAUUUUCUUCUGAGGAGGUCAUGAAAUAAUUACUGGAAAAUGAAGAAGCUGAGCUGAUACAGUUUAAAACAGGGUUUGAUUAUCAUUAAAUGUUUAAUUAUGAUUUUUUAUUUUUGGUGAUGAGAUUAACUUCGAAACAAAACAGACAAUUUUGAUAAAAGAUGAACAUAAUUUUUCUUUGCUGUUUCUCAUCAAAAGUCUUAAACUUAAAUCAAAUUUUUGACUUUUGUUUUCCAAAUUAUUCAUAUUUUUUUUAUCUAAGGCUAAAUGUUAUAUUACAAACACUGUCUGUCACAGGACGAUAACCAUAAAGCAGGUAAAAUGUCUGAAUAUUUUCUGAGCGUCCCGCCCUGAUGCGCCUCAGCACGGACAAACAGCGGCGUCUCUUUGAAACGCCAUCUUCAAAGCCCGUCCUGGUCUGCUGAGGUGUGAAAUAUGUGGAACAGCACCACCCACCCACCAGCAGCCCUCUCUCCUUUCUCCACAGCGGAGGGCGGCGCCGAGAUGCCUGCAACCAGAUGUUGGACAGCCCUAACACUGGGGGUCAAAGGUCACGG